rnacentral:rRNA from 1 species
AGGACGAACGCUGGCGGCGUGCUUAACACAUGCAAGUCGAGCGGAAAGGCCCUUCGGGGUACUCGAGCGGCGAACGGGUGAGUAACACGUGGGUGAUCUGCCCCAGACUCUGGGAUAACUCCGGGAAACCGGGGCUAAUACCGGAUAUGACCUACCUUCGCAUGGGGGUGGGUGGAAAGUUUUUCGGUCUGGGAUGGGCCCGCGGCCUAUCAGCUUGUUGGUGGGGUAAUGGCCUACCAAGGCGACGACGGGUAG